rnacentral:rRNA from 1 species
UAAAUUGAGAGUUUGAUCCUGGCUCAGGACGAACGCUGGCGGCGUGCCUAACACAUGCAAGUCGAGCGAUGAAGCUCCUUCGGGAGUGGAUUAGCGGCGGACGGGUGAGUAACACGUGGGUAACCUGCCUCAUAGAGGGGAAUAGCCUCCCGAAAGGGAGAUUAAUACCGCAUAAAGUAUGAAGGUCGCAUGACUUUUAUACCAAAGGAGUAAUCCGCUAUGAGAUGGACCCGCGGCGCAUUAGCUAGUUGGUGAGGUAAGGGCUCACCAAGGCAACGAUGCGUAGCCGACCUGAGAGGGUGAUCGGCCACAUUGGAACUGAGACACGGUCCAGACUCCUACGGGAGGCAGCAGUGGGGAAUAUUGCGCAAUGGGGGAAACCCUGACGCAGCAACGCCGCGUGAAUGAAGAAGGCCUUAGGGUUGUAAAGUUCUGUCAUAUGGGAAGAUAAUGACGGUACCAUAUGAGGAAGCCACGGCUAACUACGUGCCAGCAGCCGCGGUAAUACGUAGGUGGCAAGCGUUGUCCGGAUUUACUGGGCGUAAAGGAUGCGUAGGCGGACAUUUAAGUCAGAUGUGAAAUACCCGGGCUCAACUUGGGUGCUGCAUUUGAAACUGGGUGUCUAGAGUGCAGGAGAGGAAAGCGGAAUUCCUAGUGUAGCGGUGAAAUGCGUAGAGAUUAAGAAAAACACCAGUGGCGAAGGCGGCUUUCUGGACUGUAACUGACGCUGAGGCAUGAAAGCGUGGGGAGCAAAUAGGAUUAGAUACCCUGGUAGUCCGCCUACGCAUCCUUUACGCCCAGUAAAUCCGGACAACGCUUGCCACCUAC